UUGUCGAUCCUUAUGGACUAACUGGAAAAGUACAAGCUGUAAAUCCAGCGUGGGGUGCAGAAGGUUUUGAUCCUUUUGUUCCGGGGGGAAUAGCUUCUCAUCAUAUUGCUGCGGGUACAUUGGGUAUAUUAGCGGGCUUAUUCCAUCUUAGUGUCCGUCCGCCUCAACGUCUAUAUAAAGGAUUACGUAUGGGCAA